UACGUAGGGCGCAAGCGUUGUCCGGAAUUAUUGGGCGUAAAGAGCUCGUAGGCGGUUUGUCGCGUCUGCUGUGAAAACCUAAGGCUCAACCUUGGGCUUGCAGUGGGUACGGGCAGACUAGAGUGCGGUAGGGGUGACUGGAAUUCCUGGUGUAGCGGUGGAAUGCGCAGAUAUCAGGAAGAACACCCGUGGCGAAGGCGGCUCUCUGGAACGCAACUGGACGCUGAAGACGCGAAAAGCGUGGGGAGCAAACAGG
rnacentral:rRNA from 1 species